CUCUUAGGUAAAAGGGUUCCAGAACUGAAAAUGCAUUCAGGUGUGGGGACUGAGCAACAAAUGCUUGCCUCCUACUCCCUCAUCACUGGGACAAGAUCCCCAAGUAUAUGAUUGAGACCCUGUCUGGGGAGUGGAUAACUUCAACUGCAGAAAGAACAGAUGGAAACUGGCAUAGAUGAGGCAUGCACUUACUUUCACGGAGCAGGAGAGAGGACCAGCAUGGUGCUGGACAUGGCAUUGGGUCUCCAGAAGGAUGAGGACUCCAUCUUCCAAGACCAUGGUCCAUGGAAUGAGGGCCAAUGAGCACCAUCCUUUUAAGGGGGCCACAGGCAACAGGAAUCCUUAUGGAUAAACCAGAUUACAUAUAUGGGAACAUUCACAAGAACACCCUUAUAAUAACCAGCUACUGAAAAAAAACUCAAAUGUCUAUGGACAGAAGAAUGGAUGAAUAAAUUGUGGUGUUCCCAGUGGCUGUAUCUUAAUGUAGAUUGGGAACAAAGGACAUGUUAGAACUGCCAAGUACCACAGUCAACCUCUCAAAUGCUAUCAGCUUUGCCUGCAUCAGACAUCAGUGAAGAGAGUGAAACACGUGAAUAAAAGCAAAAGGUCUGUAAUAUGCAGGGCUUUAUUAGGCAGUUCUGAGUGAACUCCAAACAAAAUGUGUAAAAAGAUGAGGCAUCCCGGAAAGCCACCUCUAAUCAAGUCCGUGUGCCUUAGUGAAGCUCUACAUCACAAAGGAAACAGAAAACAAGAGUCCAGAUUGGGAAAGGUGUUCGUCUUCCGCCAGUACAACAUUCUUACUCCCUACAAAUUUACUGAAUCUAUAAAGACCUGAAGUUAAGCUCCUCCCAAGUCCAGAUUCAAUGUAAGCGCUGGUUCUGUGCAUUUAAUUAAUGAUCUUUGUAAAUAUUUGAAAGAUCGAAAUCGAUUGCAUGUGCUCGGCAUUUCUGCAGGCAUAGAUUCCAAACUUUAAGCAAGGAGACUGCCCCUUUCCGAUUUCAUCCGGGGUAGUUGAGGCGAGUUCGUCCUGUAAAUGCACAUCCUGACGCAUGAAGCAAAGGGCCAGGCUCCCCAAUUCCUUUCAAGGUUUUUAGCAGUCUUCAUUGAAAUAAAUGUACCGGAAACAGCAGAAGUAGAAAAUGGCACAAGGCGAUAACGUUUGCAUAAAGAAGCCAUUAGGAAGGUGUGCCAAUGGAACAAUUGUGUGAUGUUGCAUAACAAAUGCACACUUUCCUUUAGUUAUUUUAAAGAUUCCAUUUAUCUAGUGUUUUUUUUUUUGCAUUUAAAGAGCAUGAUGCUGAAUGAUUCUCCAUUCCUGAGAUGCCAGCACUUCUUGAAAAAACAUUCACAGAAUGAUUCAAAGCAUAAUAAAAGAGUAAAUCCAAUGUAAUAUUUAUCCAGCCUGAAUUUUCAGCUUUAAUACAUCCAAAGCCACCCCAUCCCCCAAUUUGCACAAUCACAGCUUAAUAAAGCACAUAUUUUAAACAGGCUGUUAAAAAUUGGUGAGAAAAGCCAGAAACAGAGCCACAGAACUCCCCCAAAUGCCCCCAAGAUGGAGACCACAUAGACUAGAAACUGGCUGGAACUUUCUAGGCACUGCCUUUUAAGUCCCUCUCUAGGGUAGGAGCUGAAAGGUCUCCAUCCCACUGAAGGCAGAGCAGGGGUGGUCCUGGGGAAAGGCUAAAUUCAGUUCACUGUUCAAAGAAGAAUUCAUGCAAAUGCUUAAUAAGUACAUGGAAAAGGCAGCCUCACAGGUAAUCAAGAACACAGAUUAAAAGGAGAAAUAUGUUUCUUGUCUAUCAAAUUAGCAACUAGUACAUGGCCUUCUAACUGGUUUUGCUCCCAUACUUGCCACCCUACUGUCUCAUCUGAGAUGCAUACAGCAGCCUGAGUGAUUCUGAUAAAUCUUGAGAAGCAUGGAGUAGCUUCUCUGGACUUCCUACCCUUGGUUUCCCACUAAGAACAACCCUCCAUCACCUCCUGCUGACUGGUGGCCACUCCAAGCACCUACUCAUCUCUUUCCCCUUCUUGCUGCUCUAUUUACAGCUUUUCCACCAGCCCUUGAAACUGUGGAGCAACACCAACCUCCUGGCCCUUGUACCUGCUCUCCCGGCCGUCUGGAAUGCUAUUUCCUUGGAUCCUCACAAGGCUUCAUUUCUCUCUGUUCUGGACUUAGAUGUUGUCUACCUAAACUAUUUAGAUAGCACCUCCACUGAAACAGCAUCACCCCACCAGCUCCCUACCCUGCUUUACUUUCUUCAUAGAACGUAUCCAUCCCUGCAUAACAGUCUACUCUAUAUUUAUUUACUUUCCCUGUCUUCCCACAAGAUCUGAGUGUCUGGAGGACAGGAAAUUCUUUUUGUUGUUGUUUGUGACUAUAUCUCAAGUGCCCAGAACAGCACACAAUAAAUAUAUGCCAAUGGAAUGGCUUUCAGUGGCUCAACCCAGGAUCAUCAAGGCUAUUCUACCUGUGUUCCCACGCAAGGAAGGUGGAGAAAGAUGUGGGCACAGUCAUGAUAGGAAAUCAUCUGGCAAUGUUAUCCAACACCUGCAAAGAGUUUAUUUUUUUUUAUUCAGUUUACCCGCUUUCAGAAACUUACACCAGAGCAAUAAUCAAAACAUUCAGGUGAAGAUUUCAAUAUAAAGAUACUUAUUAAAGUAUUAUUUGUGACUAUGACAAAUGGAAAUGACUGGAUAAAUAACAAUACUCCUAAUAUAGAAUGGCUACCACUUUUUCAGAAGUUAUUAAGUGUUGGGUAAAAGGCUAGGUUUUUAAAAUACUCCACAAACUAGUUGUAUCCAAUUUACAGAUGACGGCACUGAGGUAACUUGUCCAAGGCAUCAUUUGAUGCGUUUUAUGAAGCAUGGGGCCUCAAGUUCUUGCUGUCUGGACUGAGUUAAGAAAUAAUAAAUUGGAGGGGCGCCUGGGUGGCGCAGUCGGUUAAGCGUCCGACUUCAGCCAGGUCACGAUCUCGCGGUCCGUGAGUUCGAGCCCCGCGUCGGGCUCUGGGCUGAUGGCUCAGAGCCUGGAGCCUGUUUCCGAUUCUGUGUCUCCCUCUCUCUCUGCCCCUCCCCCGUUCAUGCUCUGUCUCUCUCUGUCCCAAAAAUAAAUAAACGUUGGAAAAAAAA